GACAAACGGGGGGGGGGUUUUUUAACCUUGUAAGUUGAACGGGAUUUUUGAGGAAAAACCUUUGGGGGGAAGAUUAUUAAUUAGAGUGGCGGAACGGGGUGAGUAACGCGUGAGCCCACCCUCCUUACACAGGGGGGAUAGCCCUUGGGAAACCGGGAUUAAUUCCCGCAUAAAAUCGUAAAAACCCAUGGUUUAAGGGUUAAAGAUUUAUCGGUUAAAAAUGGGCUCGCGUUUGAUUAGCUAGUUGGUAAGAUAACAGCCCCCCAAGGCAACGAUCCGUUGCCGGUUUUAGAGGAUGAACGGCCACAUUGGAACUGAGACACGGCCCAAAAUCCUACGGGAGGCAGCAGUGGGGAAUAUUGCACAAUGGGGGAAACCCUGAUGCAGCGACGCCGCGUGAACGAAGAAGGUUUUCGUAUUGUAAAGUUCUGUCCUAUGGGAAGAUAAUGACAGUACCAUAGAAGAAAGCUCCGGCUAAAUACGUGCCAGCAGCCGCGGUAAUACGUAUGGAGCGAGCGUUGUCCGGAAUUAUUGGGCGUAAAGGGUACGCUGGCGGUUUAAUAAGUCGAAUGUUAAAGAUCGGGGCUCAACCCCGUAAAGCAUUGGAAACUGAUAAACUUGAGUAGUGGAGAGGAAAGUGGAAUUCCUAGUGUAGUGGUGAAAUACGUAGAUAUUAGGAGGAAUACCAGUAGCGAAGGCGACUUUCUGGACACAAACUGACGCUGAGGUACGAAAGCGUGAGGAGCAAACAGG
rnacentral:rRNA from 1 species